GUCAGGAGGCACCCGAGAAGACCAUCAAUCUGUCAUGUAAAAGGGGAGACGUGGCGGGGGAGAAAGGAGGUAAUUGGAAUUGAGCUUCACUUGGGACUCUUUCUCCAGCGGGAAGUGUAGCUGGAGAAAUACAGAGCAGAGCCAUCCCAAAGGUGUUAUCGUACGGCUGGAAGAUUCUUCUCUGCUUCCCCAUUUGCUGAAAUAGACCCUGGAUGGUCUAUUCAGGAGGUGCUCCAUAACUGUGGAAUGGAUGAAAGUGUGUGUUCCCCAAGUGUACUUCAAGAAAGGAAAGAAAAAAAAUGUCCCCUCAGUGACCACCCUCUUUAGGCACAGUCUACCUGUCACUGUGGCUUCAAGGAGCAACAAAGGAAGAUGGCCCGGCUGGCCUUGAAUUUGCAUACAAAUGGCCAAGCCACAAAUGAGAUCUUUGAAAGCUGUCAGGGACCUAAGAAGUGUUUAAGGCAGAGAUUCCAAGAAACGGGGCUGCAGGUGUGGCCAGAGCAUUGCAAAGUUUUCACCAGCCUUCAGUGAAAUGGGAAAAACAGGCACAAAGGAGUGCGUUUUCAUAGAGCUCCGUGCAUUUUCUGUUAGAUUUCUGAGAUUGAGUCCUUCUACGUCAUUUGACAAUGAAAUGCCAUUUGACAAUGAAAUGCCAUUUCUUUUAUAAAGUUAUGGUAACAGACAAUAGCAUUAAAAG